rnacentral:rRNA from 1 species
UACGUAGGGUGCGAGCGUUAAUCGGAAUUAUUGGGCGUAAAGGGCUCGUAGGCGGUUUGUCGCGUCGGGAGUGAAAUCCACUGGCUUAACUGGUGGCUUGCUUUCGAUACGGGCAGACUGGAGGUAUGCAGGGGAGAACGGAAUUCCUGGUGUAGCGGUGAAAUGCGCAGAUAUCAGGAGGAACACCGGUGGCGAAGGCGGCUUGCUGGGCCAGUUCUGACGCUGAGGAGCGAAAGCGUGGGGAGCGAACAGG